GCCAUAUUUUUACCGCUACUGCA
rnacentral:miRNA from 11 species